CAAAGACCGCGAGGCAGAGCAAAACCCUAAAAAUAGGUCUCAGUUCGGAUCGUAGGCUGCAACCCGCCUGCGUGAAGUUGGAAUUGCUAGUAAUCGCGGAUCAGCAUGCCGCGGUGAAUACGUUCCCGGGCCUUGUACACACCGCCCGUCACACCAUGGGAGCCGGUAAUGCCCGAAGUCAGUAGCCUAACCGCAAGGAGGGCGCUGCCGAAGGUAGGAUUGGCGACUGGGGUGAAGUCGUAACAAGGUACC
rnacentral:rRNA from 1 species